UGGAGUUCCCAGAAGGAAGCUGGAUUAAGUAUAUAAGGGAGGAACAAAACAAAGAACUGAAACUUUCUCUGAGAAUGUGAUGAGACGAGUAGGAGCUUUAAGAGAUAACUCCUACGUCCUCAUGUGUGGUGACACGCGUCGCACAGUCAGAGAAUUUCAGAUCUGUGGAUGGUAUUUGUAUGCCAUCUACUUCCAUGGGUAGAUGUCCUCUGUGAAGAAAGCCAUUGACAUCGGAGUAGCGGCACGGACAUUAGCUGCUGGCUGACAGCGACAGAGGACUCGCAAUCAUGGUUGGAAGCGUCGCCUCCUUUGCGUUUCCGUGAAAUUCAAGAGGGGGACUAUAUCUACAAAGGUCUUCAUGCAAGAAUCAAUCAUUGAUUGUAUAGAAAAAAAAUAAAACGCAAAAAAAAUAAAA